AUUGAACGCUGGCGGCAUGCCUUACACAUGCAAGUCGAACGGCAGCGGACCUUCGGGUGCCGGCGAGUGGCGAACGGGUGAGUAAUAUAUCGGAACGUACCUUUCAGUGGGGGAUAACGUAGCGAAAGUUACGCUAAUACCGCAUAUUCUGUGAGCAGGAAAGCAGGGGAUCGCAAGACCUUGCGCUGAUUGAGCGGCCGAUAUCAGAUUAGCUAGUUGGUGAGGUAAAGGCCCACCAAGGCGACGAUCUGUAGCGGGUCUGAGAGGAUGAUCCGCCACACUGGAACUGAGACACGGUCCAGACUCCUACGGGAGGCAGCAGUGGGGAAUAUUGGACAAUGGGGGCAACCCUGAUCCAGCCAUGCCGCGUGUGUGAAGAAGGCCUCGGUGUAAGCACUUAAGUCGGGAGGAAGGACCGUGA
rnacentral:rRNA from 1 species